rnacentral:rRNA from 1 species
AGCAGCCGCGGUAAUUCCAGCUCCAAUAGCGUAUAUUAAAGUUGCUGCAGUUAAAAAGCUCGUAGUUGAAUUUCGGGAUCGAUAUAUCGGUCGUGCCUCGGUACGUACUGGUAUUUUCGGUUUCUCCCUUCUGACGAACCUUGAUGUCAUUAAUUUGGUGUCUUGGGGAAUCAGGACUGUUACUUUGAAAAAAUUAGAGUGUUUAAAGCAGGCUCACGCUUGAAUACAUUAGCAUGGAAUAAUGAAAUAGGACGUUUGAUUCUAUUUUGUUGGUUUCUAGGAUCGACGUAAUGAUUAAUAGGGAUAGGUUGGGGGCAUUAGUAUUCAAUUGUCAGAGGUGAAAUUCUUGGAUUUUAUUGAAGACUAACUACUGCGAAAGCUAUUUGCCAAGGAUGUUUUCAUUAAUCAAGAACGAAAGUUAGGGGAUCGAAGACGAUCAGAUACCGUCGUAGUCUUAACCAUAAACUAUGCCGACUAGGGAUCGGAUGAUGUUUAAUUUUUAAUGACUCAUUCGGCGCCU